rnacentral:rRNA from 1 species
UACGGAGGGUGCAAGCGUUAUCCGGAUUCACUGGGUUUAAAGGGUGCGUAGGUGGGCAAGUAAGUCAGGGGUGAAAUCCUGGAGCUCAACUCCAGAACUGCCUUUGAUACUGGGAAUCUCGAGUCCGGGAGAGGUGAGUGGAACUGCGAGUGUAGAGGUGAAAUUCGUAGAUAUUAGGAAGAACACCGGUGGCGAAGGCGGCCCACUGGCUCGACACUGACGCUGAGGUGCGAAAGCGUGGGGAGCAAACAGG